CUCUCUCGUCAAAUAGAAGCCAAGUCAUGGGGAGAGUUGAGCUUGGUAAGAAAACUGACACACAACUUCUACUCUUUAGGAGUUAGGCAUCUGAAGCGGAGUGGAUGGGG
rnacentral:miRNA from 1 species